rnacentral:rRNA from 1 species
GAUGAACGCUGGCGGCGUGCCUAAUACAUGCAAGUCGAACGAAUCAAGGAAAGAGCAAUCUGGAAUUGGUUAGUGGCGAACGGGUGAGUAAUACAUAAACAAUCUACCCAUGAGGACUGGGAUAACCAUUGGAAACGAUGGCUAAUACCGGAUAGGUAAGAGCAGGGCAUCCUGCACUUAUUAAAGGUUAGAAACACAGAUGGAUGAGUUUAGUGGCGCAUUAGCUAGUUGGUGAGGUAAUGGCCCACCAAGGCGAUGAUGCGUAGCCGACCUGGGAGGGUGACCGGCCACACUGGGACUGAGACACGGCCCAGACUCCUACGGGAGGCAGCAGUAGGGAAUUUUCGGCAAUGGAGGAAACUCUGACCGAGCAACGCCGCGUGAGUGAUGAAGGUCUUCGGAUUGUAAAGCUCUGUUGUAAAGGAAGAAUGCUAUGGAUAGAAUCCAUAGGUGACGGUACUUUACCAGAAAGCCACGGCUAACUACGUGCCAGCAGCCGCCGUAA